rnacentral:misc_RNA from 1 species
CGCAGCCGCGGUAAUUCCAGCUCCAAUAGCGUAUAUUAAAGUUGUUGCAGUUAAAAAGCUCGUAGUUGAAUUUCGGGAUCAGUUGAUCGGUCGUGCCUCGGUACGUACUGGUCAAAUUGAUUCCUACCUUCUGACGAACCACGAUGUCAUUAAUUUGGUGUCGCGGGAAAUCAGGACUGUUACUUUGAAAAAUUAGAGUGUUUAAAGCAGGCUCGCGCUUGAAUACAUUAGCAUGGAAUAAUGAAAUAGGACGUUUGAUUCUAUUUUGUUGGUUUCUAGGAUCGACGUAAUGAUUAAUAGGGAUAGUUGGGGGCAUUAGUAUUCAAUUGUCAGAGGUGAAAUUCUUGGAUUUAUUGAAGACUAACUACUGCGAAAGCAUUUGCCAAGGAUGUUUUCAUUAAUCAAGAACGAAAGUUAGGGGAUCGAAGACGAUCAGAUACCGUCGUAGUCUUAACCAUAAACUAUGCCGACUAGGGAUCGGAUGAUGUUAAUUUUUUAAUGUACUCAUUCGGCGCCUUAA